UACGUAGGGUGCGAGCGUUGUCCGGAAUUAUUGGGCGUAAAGAGCUUGUAGGCGGUUUGUCGCGUCUGCUGUGAAAAUCCGAGGCUCAACCUCGGACUUGCAGUGGGUACGGGCAGACUAGAGUGUGGUAGGGGAGACUGGAAUUCCUGGUGUAGCGGUGAAAUGCGCAGAUAUCAGGAGGAACACCGAUGGCGAAGGCAGGUCUCUGGGCCACUACUGACGCUGAGAAGCGAAAGCAUGGGGAGCGAACAGGAUUAGA
rnacentral:rRNA from 1 species